AGUGAACGCUGGCGGUAGGCCUAACACAUGCAAGUCGAACGGCAGCACAGUAAGAGCUUGCUCUUACGGGUGGCGGGUGGCGGACGGGUGAGGAAUACAUCGGAAUCUACUUUUUCGUGGGGGAUAACGUAGGGAAACUUACGCUAAUACCGCAUACGACCUACGGGUGAAAGCAGGAGAUCUUCGGACCUUGCGCGAUUGAAUGAGCCGAUGUCGGAUUAGCUAGUUGGCGGGGUAAAGGCCCACCAAGGCGACGAUCCGUAGCUGGUCUGAGAGGAUGAUCAGCCACACUGGAACUGAGACACGGUCCAGACUCCUACGGGAGGCAGCAGUGGGGAAUAUUGGACAAUGGGCGCAAGCCUGAUCCAGCCAUACCGCGUGGGUGAAGAAGGCCUUCGGGUUGUAAAGCCCUUUUGUUGGGAAAGAAAAGCAGCAGGUUAAUACCCCGCUGUUCUGACGGUACCCAAAGAAUAAGCACCGGCUAACUUCGUG
rnacentral:rRNA from 1 species